rnacentral:rRNA from 1 species
AGCGAACGCUGGCGGCAGGCCUAACACAUGCAAGUCGAACGAACUCUUCGGAGUUAGUGGCGGACGGGUGAGUAACACGUGGGAACGUGCCUUUAGGUUCGGAAUAACUGGGGAAACUUGUGCUAAUACCGAAUGUGCCCUUCGGGGGAAAGAUUUAUCGCCUUUAGAGCGGCCCGCGUCUGAUUAGCUAGUUGGUGAGGUAAAGGCUCACCAAGGCGACGAUCAGUAGCUGGUCUGAGAGGAUGAUCAGCCACAUUGGGACUGAGACACGGCCCAAACUCCUACGGGAGGCAGCAGUGGGGAAUCUUGCGCAAUGGGCGAAAGCCUGACGCAGCCAUGCCGCGUGAAUGAUGAAGGUCUUAGGAUUGUAAAAUUCUUUCACCGGGGACGAUAAUGACGGUACCCGGAGAAGAAGCCCCGGCUAACUUCGUG